CAGAUGAAUACCCAGAAGUGGAAUUGCUGGAUCAUAUGUGAUCUGUCUAUUCAUGUGUCUACACUACACUAUGUUGACCAGAAUUCACACUACAGUUAAGAUUUGAAAACAGGUUGUGGUAGGGGUGAUACUGCAUGAUUUCCCAAGCUAGGUUAGAAAAGAUGCCAUAGCCUCCACCUGGCUGUCUCCUGGGACUCUUGGAAGCAGCCACCAUGCUGUGAGGAAGCCCAGGCUACCUGGAGACGACACGGUGAAGUAUACCAGAUGACAGCCCCAGCAAAGAUUCCAGCUGCAGCCAGCAUCAAAAGCCAGACAUGAAUGCUAAUAAGUCAUUGAGGGGGAAGGGUUCUAGGGCACUUGCCCUUUCAGUCCUUAUUGACUGUUCUACUGAAUAUUUCUUCUUUGCUUCAAUUUGGGAUAUGGUGUAAAGCGAAAGGAAUCUGGAGUCAUCAGAACACAUUUACAGGAUGUUGUAGAAGCCUG